UACGUAGGUGGCAAGCGUUGUUCGGAAUUACUGGGCGUAAAGGGCUCGUAGGCGGCCAACUAAGUCGGACGUGAAAUCCCCAGGCUCAACCUGGGAACUGCGUCCGAUACUGGAUGGCUUGAAUCCGGGAGAGGGAUGCAGAAUUCCAGGUGUAGCGGUGAAAUGCGUAGAUAUCUGGAGGAAUACCGGUGGCGAAGGCGGCAUCCUGGACCGGCAUUGACGCUGAGGGAGCGAAAGCCAGGGGAGCAAACGGG
rnacentral:rRNA from 1 species